UGCAGUCGAACGGACUUAAAGUUUUCGGACAAUAAGUUAGUGGCGGACGGGUGAGUAACGCGUGAGCAACCUGCCUUUCAGAGGGGGAUAACGUUUGGAAACAGACGCUAAUACCGCAUAAGAUAGUAGUAUCGCAUGGUACGGCUAUCAAAGGAGCAAUCCGCUGAGAGAUGGGCUCGCGUCCGAUUAGAUAGUUGGUGGGGUAACGGCCUACCAAGUCAGCGAUCGGUAGCCGGACUGAGAGGUUGAACGGCCACAUUGGGACUGAGACACGGCCCAGACUCCUACGGGAGGCAGCAGUGGGGGAUAUUGCACAAUGGGCGAAAGCCUGAUGCAGCAACGCCGCGUGAGGGAAGACGGUUUUCGGAUUGUAAACCUCUGUCUUUGGUGAAGAAAGAAAUGACGGUAGCCAAGGAGGAAGCCACGGCUAACUACGUGCCAGCAGCCGCGGUAAUACGUAGGUGGCAAGCGUUGUCCGGAAUUACUGGGUGUAAAGGGAGCGCAGGCGGGGAGACAAGUCCGCUGUGAAAACUAUGGGCUUAACCCAUAGACGGCAGUGGAAACUGUAUCUCUUGAGUGGAGUAGAGGCAGGCGGAAUUCCGAGUGUAGCGGUGAAAUGCGUAGAUAUUCGGAGGAACACCAGUGGCGAAGGCGGCCUGCUGGGCUCUAACUGACGCUGAGGCUCGAAAGUGUGGGGAGCAAACAGGAUUAGAUACCCUGGUAGUCCACACUGUAAACGAUGAUUGCUAGGUGUGGGGGGUCUGACCCCUUCCGUGCCGGAGCUAACGCAAUAAGCAAUCCACCUGGGGAGUACGGCCGCAAGGUUGAAACUCARAGGGAAUUGACGGGGGCCCGCACAAGCAGUGGAUUAUGUGGUUUAAUUCGAAGCAACGCGAAGAACCU
rnacentral:rRNA from 1 species